AUGCAAGUUAGCCCCCCUGUGAAAAUGCCCUUCUUUACCUAUUAGUAAAUAAGGAGCGGAUAUCAGGCACAAUUUAUGCCCAUAACAUCUUGCCAAGCCACACCUCUACAGGAAUUCAGCAGUGAUAAACAUUGAAAAAUAAGCGUCAAUAAGCUCGAAUCAGUAAUAAUUUUAAGAGUUGGUAAAUUUCGUGCCAGCCACCGCGGUUAUACGAGAAACUCAAAUUAAUAAAAACGGCCUAAAGCGUGAUUAAAUUAUAUUAAAAUAAAUAGAAAUAAAAAUUAACUCGACUGUUAUACGUAUAUGUUAAACGGUAAACCAAAAACGAAAGAUAUUCUAACAAAUAAACUACUUGAACCCACGAAAGCUAAGAAACAAACUAGGAUUAGAUACCCUACUAUGCUCAGCCUUAAACUUUGGAACAACCCGCCGAGAUACCCUACUAUGCUCAGCCUUAAACUUUGGAACAACCCGCCUGAGUAAGAUACCCUACUAUGCUCAGCCUUAAACUUUGGAACAACCCGCCGAGAUACCCUACUAUGCUCAGCCUUAAACUUUGGAACAAGAUACCCUACUAUGCUCAGCCUUAAACUUUGGAACAACCCGCCUGAGUACUACGAGCCACAGCUUAAAACUCAAAGGACUUGGCGGUGCUCUACACCCCCCUAGAGGAGCCUGUUCUAUAAUUGAUACCCCCCGCUAAACCUCACCACUUAUUGCCAAUACCGCUUAUAUACCGCCGUCGUCAGCUCACCAUUUGAAUGCGAAUUAAGAAAUGGGCUACCUUUUUUAAACUAGAAAAUACGAAAAUACGAAAAAUUUUAUGAAAAACUAUUUAAAGGUGGAUUUAGCCGUAAAAAGAAAAUAGAGUGUUCUUUUUAAAUAGGCCAUAGAGGGGGCACACACCGCCCGUCACCCUCCUCAGAAAAACAACUAAUUUAUAUAAAGAAAGGGAAGGAGGCCC
rnacentral:rRNA from 1 species